AGGUGAUCUUCUCUAAUACGGAACCCUCCAUAGCCAAACAGGACAGCCUGUAGGAAGCCACCUGCACCUGUUAUGAAGUUAACAGCUCCCUUCCGAUUGAUGUUCUCCGUCCAUACCUGUAAAAGUCUCUGCAUCAGUUAUACUGGACGAAAAGAGAAGAAAAAGAAGGGCAACAGAGUCAGCAUCGACGGAAAAAAGAGGGAACUUUUUGAUAAAGUUAUGAACAAUGGUAGUGGCAACUGGACGAAGACUUUACUGGCUUCAACAUGGCGAGUAAACCUCUAUUCGUAGCUGGACAGAACCACAAUAAAGUCAUGUUGAGAUCGUAGCCAUCAAACUCAGGAUGAUAUUUGAGCUUCUUGUCAAAGGGGAUGUACAUCUGUUCGGCAAUCUUGUUCCAGCGAGUAGGUACCUUGACAGCAAACUCCAGGUUCUGUUUCGCCACCACAUUCGUAUAGAUACUGUUAUCAACAGGAAACUGGUACUCAUCUGGCGGCAUCACGAAAUAAAGAUUGCAAUUGCACGUCAAGAUCGUUAUGGCCUGAUACACUGAUUUACAUAUACUAAUGCUGCUGGUUAUCGCCGUGACGAAGUACCAAGUCUUAUUCUUAACUUUGGCGGCAAUUGUUAGUGACGAGGGGAUCUCCGUCCACGCCACUCCAACUUUGGCUUUGAAUCCACGAGUAUCCUCUGGUUUCCUCACCUGGAGCACACGCAGUAACGUCCGAUGUUAUUGAUGGUCGUACCCGUCGUGCAUAGGUGCCAGGUAAAGAUUCCAUUGUCCCAGACGAGCAAAUGGUAAAAGAUAUUCACCAACUAUAGGUAUUUUCUGAACAAGAAACACGACUACCUUUAGCGCCGGUCAAAUUCCCGUUCAAGAGUCGUGUUUAUGCUACGAAAGAAGUCUACAAUAUCAUCAGCAGAUCGACAGAAACAUUAGCGAAAAUCAUUAGAUUCGGAGUGUCACUAAAACCUACAGGGAUCUCAACAGGACGGCCGUAUGAAGAAGAGUUUCCUACUGACCAAAAAUCCAAGGUCCUCCUUCCUUAUCUAUGGAUUGAUCACCUACACGAUACUACAGUUCAUCUAGCAAUGGGGUACAUUUUUGUUUUCAUAACAUGAUAUCAGUGUGGUAUUCCAUAGUACCGAAAGAGACUUUUUUUACCUUGAGCAUAGUUUAAUUUUCCAUUCCAGACAACGUGUCAUUCUCUAGAGUAUCAUUUCUUUGUUUAACGGUUGUGCAUGCGAAGACACAUGAAUAUGGAUGCAACUCAAACAAAGAAUCUUAUUCUCAAGAGAAACACGUGAUCUCAAAUGGUAAAACAUUUCGCCCCAGAUAAAGAGGUCUUGGCUAACAGGGAAAGAGAAUAUCAAAUUAGUACAAAUUCCAUCGAGAGAAUGUCUGAUUUCUUUUGUAUUUUCAUGUCGGCCACCUUUCCAUACUUCGCCUUGCGCAGGCAUCCUAGACCUCCUAUAUAUCCUAUAUUUCCUAUAAUUUGUAUAGGAUCCUAUAAAGAGCCUAUAUUUAAAGAAAACCUCCUAUAUUUCCUAUAAAUAGGACGACUGCUGAUUGAUACAUUUAUACUUUACACUGUUUAGCAUAUUUGGCGAAGGGAAUAAAUAUUUUUUAUGAUUUGAGUGAUGUAUCUUGAAGAUAUCAAGGUUUAUACCCCCAAUAUUUUAAUGAGUGAUGUCAUUUUAGUGUAUGUUUAGUUAUGUUAUGAGAAAUUAAAUUUGAAUUAACCUUUCUACAAACCCCAAGACAAUGAUUUUGUAUACUUAACAAAUAGACAUCAGUUUUUUGUGUCUGUCCUCUUAUUGACGAUAAAUUGCGUCAUCACAUUGUCAAAGUAGUGUGGAUUCACGAGGCGUCU